UAGGUUGUUGACCUGGCAUACAGUGUAGAAUUCUGUGUGGGUGAUUCUACAGCUACAUUGUCUGCUGGGUUUUAGGCCCUACUC
rfam:Salmo salar isolate Sally breed double haploid chromosome ssa17, whole genome shotgun sequence.